UACUAGAAAGAGGGUGUCUGUAAUUGUGUGAACUCCUACAGGACGGCUCCGUCUCUACUGCAAAGGGGCUUUUGGGCUACUACAAAUAAUGCUCCUAUGAACAUUUGUUUGCAACUCUUUGUAUGGACAUAUGGCCUCAUCUCUAUUUGGAUUCAGGGAUUUAUGAGAGACUUUCAGAAGAUUCUCUCUUUGUGGAGGAGACUUUAGCCCAUCUGGAAUGUCUUGCCAAAAACGAGGUUCCUGCUACUUGGAGCCACAGCCAUUGAAGAUCUCCUUCAAGCACGUGUUCCAGAAACGAUGACAAAUUUACUGAAAGCAAACAUAAGAAUAUGGAUCUUGACAGGAGAUAUACAAGAAACUGCAAUUAACAUAGGCAACACAACAAGUGAUUAAUCAGAACUGCCAAGAUCUUGGAGCCUUGUUAGGUAAACAAAAUGACCUGGCCCUAAUCUUUGAUGGUAAAACAUUGAAGCAUGCCCUCCACUUUGAAGUUAAGAAGAGCUUCCUUAAUUUGGCCCUCUCAUGCAGAGCAGUAUUAUGUUGUAGCUCCUGCAGGGGUCACUCACCAGCCGGCACAACUAUGACUCCAACUCAAUUAUCCAGGCUUAUGUGAUCCGGUGCCUUGGUUUCUCCGUGUCCUCACUCUUAAGUGUCCCCAUCAGAUGAACAGUAAACAUAAAUGCACGUAAAAGUGAAGUCUGCUGACUGAGCUGUAUGCUGAACUGGUGAAA